rnacentral:rRNA from 1 species
UACGGAGGGUGCAAGCGUUGCUCGGAAUUAUUGGGCGUAAAGCGUACGCAGGCGGCGCGACAAGUCGAGUGUGAAAUCCCGGGGCUCAACCCCGGACGUGCAUUCGAGACUGCCGUGCUUGAGUGCGGGAGAGGGAAGCGGAAUUCCUGGUGUAGAGGUGAAAUUCGUAGAUAUCAGGAGGAACACCGGUGGCGAAAGCGGCUUCCUGGCCCGACACUGACGAUCAUGUACGAAAGCGUGGGGAGCAAACAGG